rnacentral:rRNA from 1 species
UUCCGGUUGAUCCUGCCGGACCUGACUGCUAUCGGAUUGAUACUAAGCCAUGCUAGUCUUUGUAGUAAUACAAGGCAUACGGCUCAGUAACGCGUAGUCAACCUACCCUAUGGACGGGGAUAAUCUCGGGAAACUGAGCAUAAUACCCGGCAGACCACUUAUCCUGGAAUGGUUAGUGGUUAAAAUGAUUCGUCGCCAUAGGAUGGGACUGCGGCCUAUCAGCUUGUUGGUGAGGUAAUGGCCCACCAAGGCGAUUACAGGUACGGGCUCUGAGAGGAGAGGCCCGGAGAUGGGUACUGAGACAAGGACCCAGGCCCUAUGGGGCGCAGCAGGCGAGAAAACUUUGCAAUGUGCGAAAGCACGACAAGGUUAAUCCGAGUGAUUUCUGCUAAAGGAAUCUUUUGUUAGUUCUAAAAAUACUAGUGAAUAAGGGGUGGGCAAGUUCUGGUGUCAGCCGCCGCGGUAAAACCAGCACCUCAAGUGGUCAGGAGGAUUAUUGGGCCUAAAGCAUCCGUAGCCUGUUCUAUAAGUUUGCGGUUAAAUCUAUACGCUCAACGUAUAGGCUGCCGUAAAUACUGUAGAACUAGGGAGUGGGAGAGGUAGACGGUACUCGAUAGGAAGGGGUAAAAUCCUUUGAUCUAUUGAUGACCACCUGUGGCGAAGGCGGUCUACCAGAACACGUUCGACGGUGAGGGAUGAAAGCUGGGGGAGCAAACCGGAUUAGAUACCCGGGUGGUCCCAGCUGUAAACGAUGCAGACUCGAUGAUGCAAUGGCAUAGAGCUAUUGCAGUAUCGCAGGGAAGCCGUUAAGUUUGCCGCCUGGGAAGUACGUACGCAAGUAUGAAACUUAAAGGAAUUGGCGGGGGAGCACCACAAGGGGUGAAGCCUGCGGUUCAAUUGGAAUCAACGCCGGA